AGUAUACUCCCUCCGUCCGGAAUUACUUGUCGCAUAAAUGGAUGAAAAUGGAUGUACUAGAAUUAAAAUACAUCUAGAUAUAUCAUUUCAACGACAAGUAUUUCCAGACAAAGGGAGUAUUAA
rfam:Triticum aestivum genome assembly, contig: Triticum_aestivum_CS42_TGACv1_scaffold_030734_1BL